AUCACCAGUUCUCGACAGAUCUCCGAAAUUAAACAACGUUGAACAGGGUCAGUAUCAAGAUAGGCGACCGCUUGGGAAUAUCAGGUGCUGUAAG